CAGGCUUAACACAUGCAAGUCGAGGGGUAGCAGGGUAGCAAUACCGCUGACGACCGGCGCACGGGUGAGUAACACGUAUCCAACCUUCCGUAUUCACGGGGAUAGCCUUUUGAAAGAGAGAUUAAUACCCGAUAGUAUAACACCGCCGCAUGACGGUGUUAUUAAAGUUUUCUCGGAAUACGAUGGGGAUGCGUUCCAUUAGAUUGUUGGUGAGGUAACGGCUCACCAAGUCUUCGAUGGAUAGGGGUUCUGAGAGGAAGGUCCCCCACACUGGUACUGAGACACGGACCAGACUCCUACGGGAGGCAGCAGUGAGGAAUAUUGGUCAAUGGGCGUGAGCUUGAACCAGCCAAGUAGCGUGAAGGAUGACUGCCCUAUGGGUUGUAAACUUCUUUUAUAUGGGAAUAACAUCAGCCACGUGUGGUUGCCUGUAUGUACCUUAUGAAUAAGCAUCGGCUAACUCCGUGCCAGCAGCCGCGGUAAUACGGAGGAUGCGAGCGUUAUCCGGAUUUAUUGGGUUUAAAGGGUGCGUAGGCGGGCUAAUAAGUCAGCUGUGAAAGUUUGCGGCUCAACCGUAAAAUUGCAGUUGAUACUGUAGUCUUGAGUACAGUAGAGGUAGGCGGAAUUCGUGAUGUAGCGUGAAAUGCUUAGAUAUCACGAAGAACUCGAUUGCGUAGGCCGCUUACCGGAGUGUCACUGACGCUGAUGCACGAAAGUGUGGGAAUCAAACAGGAUAGAUACCUGGUAGUCACACAGUAA
rnacentral:rRNA from 1 species